ACCCAGUCAAGAGUUAUGAUGUAACAAA
rnacentral:sRNA from 1 species